CACUGCAAGAAAACAGGUCAAAGGUCAGCCUGCGUUCACGUGCAUACAGAGCUUUUUACGAGUGUGUGUGAGGCCUGUAUUACAUUACAUUACAUUACAGGCAUUUAGCAGACGCUCUUAUCCAGAGCGACGUACAACAUGUGCAUUAGUUCAAGGUGCAGAGAUGCAAAAGAAACACACUAGAGUGAAGUAAAGUGUAGGUGUGUGUAUAGGUGAAGGUGCGUGUGUAUGGCUUGUAGGUGUGUGUAUAGAUUAAGGUGUGUGUGUGUGAGGCCUGUAGGUGUGUGUAUAGGUGAAGGUGUGUGUGUAUGGCCUGUAGGUGUGUGUAUAGGUGAAGGUGUGUGUGUAUGGCCUGUAGGUGUGUGUAUAGGUGAUGGUGUGUGUGUGUGUAAGGCCUGUAGGUGUGUGUAUAGGUGAAGGUGUGUGUAUAGGAGAAGGUGUGUGUUUAUGGCCUGUAGGUGUGUGUAUAGGUGAAGGUGUGUUUGUAUGGCCUGUAGGUGUGUGUAUAGUUGAAGGUGUGUGUGUUUAUGGCCUGUAGGUGUGUGUACAGAUGAAGGUGUGUGUGUGUGAGGCCUGUAGGUGUGUGUAUAGGUGAAGGUGUGUGUGUAUGGCCUGUAGGUGUGUGUAUAGUUGAAGGUGUGUAUGUAUGGCCUGUAGGUGUGUGUAUAGUUGAAGGUGUGUGUAUGGCCUGUAGGUGUG